rnacentral:lncRNA from 1 species
GCGAAUGAUUGGUUUUGAACUACGUGUGUUGUGUUUAGGAAGAAUAUUGACGUCAAAAUCGUUGACGCAAAAGCGAGGAAGGGCAGCAACAGUUGCUGCCCUCGAUCUGCAUGCCUGCAGCCACCUGCAGCCGCAGCCGUAGCCAGGCAGCACAGCGCCGGCGCAUGCGCAAGCGCUGUGCCUGCAGCAGCCGGCCGGCGGUCUGCUUGCAGCAGGCUUGCUG